UGCCUUACACAUGCAAGUCGAACGGCAGCACGGGAGCUUGCUCCUGGUGGCGAGUGGCGAACGGGUGAGUAAUACAUCGGAACGUACCCUGAAGUGGGGGAUAACGUAGCGAAAGUUACGCUAAUACCGCAUAUUCUGUGAGCAGGAAAGAGGGGGAUCGCAAGACCUCUUGCUUUAGGAGCGGCCGAUGUCGGAUUAGCUAGUUGGUGAGGUAAAGGCUCACCAAGGCGACGAUCCGUAGCGGGUCUGAGAGGAUGAUCCGCCACACUGGGACUGAGACACGGCCCAGACUCCUACGGGAGGCAGCAGUGGGGAAUUUUGGACAAUGGGCGCAAGCCUGAUCCAGCCAUGCCGCGUGAGUGAAGAAGGCCUUCGGGUUGUAAAGCUCUUUCGGUGGGGAAGAAAUUGCUUCGGUUAAUACCUGGAGUAGAUGACGGUACCCGCAUAAGAAGCACCGGCUAACUACGUG
rnacentral:rRNA from 1 species